rnacentral:rRNA from 1 species
UACGUAGGGUGCAGGCGUUACUCGGAAUUACUGGGCGUAAAGCGUGCGCAGGCGGCUUGCUAAGGGAGAUGUGAAAACCCCGGGCUUAACCUGGGAACUGCGUUUCUAACUGGCAGGCUUGAGUGUGGCAGAGGGGGGUGGAAUUCCACGUGUAGCAGUGAAAUGCGUAGAGAUGUGGAGGAACACCGAUGGCGAAGGCAGCCCCCUGGGCUAACACUGACGCUCAUGCACGAAAGCGUGGGGAGCAAACAGG